CCUACGGGUGGCAGCAGUCGAGAAUCAUUCACAAUGGGGGAAACCCUGAUGGUGCGACGCCGCGUGGGGGAAUGAAGGUCUUCGGAUUGUAAACCCCUGUCAUGUGGGAGCAAAUUAAAAAGAUAGUACCACAAGAGGAAGAGACGGCUAACUCUGUGCCAGCAGCCGCGGUAAUACAGAGGUCUCAAGCGUUGUUCGGAAUCACUUGGCGUAAAGCGUGCGGAGGCUGUUUCGUAAGUCGUGUGUGAAAGGCGCGGGCUCAACCCGCGGACGGCACAUGAUACUGCGAGACUAGAGUAAGGGAGGGGGAAGCGGAAUUCUCGGUGGAGCAGUGAAAUGCGUAGAUAUCGAGAGGAACACUCGUGGCGAAGGCGGGUUCCUGGACAUUAACUGACGCUGAGGCACGAAGGCCAGGGGAGCGAAAGGGAUUAGAUACCCGGGUAGUC
rnacentral:rRNA from 1 species